rnacentral:rRNA from 1 species
CAAGUCCUUUACUGACGCUAAAGCUCGAAGGUGCGGGUAUCGAACAGGAUUAGAUACCCUGGUAGUCCGCACGGUAAACGAUGGAUGCCCGCUGUUUGCGAUAUAGUGUGAGCGGCCAAGCGAAAGCGUUAAGCAUCCCACCUGGGGAGUACGCCGGCAACGGUGAAACUCAAAGGAAUUGACGGGGGCCCGCACAAGCGGAGGAACAUGUGGUUUAAUUCGAUGAUACGCGAGGAACCUUACCCGGGCUUGGACUGCAGCAGAACGAUUGAGAGAUCAUGAGGUCCUUCGGGACUGCUGUGGAGGUGCUGCAUGGUUGUCGUCAGCUCGUGCCGUGAGGUGUCGGCUUAAGUGCCAUAACGAGCGCAACCCCUCUCUUCAGUUGCCAUCAGGUCGAGCUGGGCACUCUGGAGACACUGCCACCGUAAGGUGUGAGGAAGGUGGGGAUGACGUCAAAUCAGCACGGCCCUUACGUCCGGGGCUACACACGUGUUACAAUGGGUGGUACAGAGCGUCGGCGGCCUGCAAAGUCCGUCCAAUCGCAAAAUCCAUCCUCAGUUCGGACUGGGGUCUGCAACCCGACCCCACGAAGCUGGAUUCG